GAUGAACGCUAGCGGCAGGCUUAACACAUGCAAGUCGAGGGGUAGAGUUAGCUUGCUAACUUGAGACCGGCGCACGGGUGCGUAACGCGUAUGCAAUCUACCUUGUACAGAGGGAUAGUCCAGAGAAAUUUGGAUUAAUACCUCAUAGUAUCUUCGGAAGGCAUCUUCUGAUUAUUAAAGUUCCAACGGUACAAGAUGAGCAUGCGUCCCAUUAGCUAGAUGGUAGGGUAACGGCUUACCAUGGCAACGAUGGGUAGGGGUCCUGAGAGGGAGAUCCCCCACACUGGUACUGAGACACGGACCAGACUCCUACGGGAGGCAGCAGUGAGGAAUAUUGGUCAAUGGGCGCAAGCCUGAACCAGCCAUGCCGCGUGCAGGAAGACGGUCCUAUGGAUUGUAAACUGCUUUUAUACGGGAAGAAACACUGCUACGUGUAGCAGCUUGACGGUACCGUAAGAAUAAGCAUCGGCUAACUCCGUGCCAGCCGCCGCAGUAAGAC
rnacentral:rRNA from 1 species